AANAAAACAAAUGAUUUCGACUCAUUA
rnacentral:tRNA from 1 species